rnacentral:lncRNA from 1 species
GUUUGGACGGGGCCCCGACUGCACUGGCACAUCAACUGCCUCGAGUUGCUGGCAGUGCACCUUGCCCUGAGCCGUCUCAAAGGGCGCUUACGAGGCAAGCAUGUACUGGUCCGCACGGACAAUACAGCGGCCGUUGCGUACAUCAACCGACAAGGUGGUCUGCGCUCCCGUCGCUUAUCGCAACUCGCCCGCCACCUCCUCCUCUGGAGUCAGAAGCAUCUGAGGUCGCUUCGUGCUGUUCACAUUUCUGGGCUGCUCAACCGGGCAGCCGACGAGCUGUCCCGAGCUGUGCGCCCGGGAGAAUGGCGACUCCAUCCCCAGACGGUCCAGCUGGUUUGGGGACGUUUCGGAGCCGCUCAGGUAGACCUGUUUGCCUCUCCAGAAACCUCUCACUGCCAGUUGUUCUUCGCCCUGACCGACGGAACACUCGGCACGGACGCUCUGGCACACAGCUGGCCGCGGGGCCUUCGCAAGUAUGCGUUUCCCCCAGUGAGCCUUCUGGCACAGUUCCUGUGCAAAGUCAGGGAGGACGAGGAGCAGGUCCUGCUGGUGGCGCCCUAUUGGCCUACCAGGACCUGGUUCCCGGAACUAGUGCUCCUCGCGACAGCCCCUCCCUGGCCGAUUCCUCUGAGAAAGGGUUUACUGACUCAGAGACGGGGCACCCUUUGGCACCCGCGUCCAGACCUCUGGAAACUUCAUGUCUGGUCCCUGGACGGGACGCGGAGGUUCUAGGUGGCCUACCCCAAGGGGUAGUUGACACCAUCACUUCAGCGAGAGCACCGUCUACGAGACACGCCUACGCUUUGAAGUGGAACCUGUUCGUUGAGUGGUGUUCUUCUCGCCGAGAAGACCCCCGGAGAUGCCUGAUCAGAGUUGUGCUGUCCUUCUUGCAGCAGGGGCUGGAGCGAAGGCUGUCUCCCUCCACCCUUAAAGUUCAUGUCGCCGCGAUCGCUGCUAACCACGGCCCCGUAGAAGGGAGGUCGUUGGGGAAGCAUGACUUGGUCGUCAGAUUCCUUAGGGGGGCGAGAAGGUUAAAUCCUCCACGGCCCCCCUCUAUACCCUCUUGGGACCUGAGUCUGGUGCUCACGGCACUACAGCAGGCCCCGUUUGAGCCUUUACAGGCAGUGGAGCUGAAGUUCCUCUCAAUGAAGACUUUGCUCCUGCUGGCAUUGGCCUCUAUCAAGAGGGUAGGGGACCUGCACGCAUUUUCGGUCAACGAUUUGUGCCUAGAGUUCGGGCCGGCUGAUUCCCAGGUAACCCUGAGGCCCCGGCCCGGCUACGUGCCCA